rnacentral:rRNA from 1 species
UACGUAGGGUGCAAGCGUUAAUCGGAAUUACUGGGCGUAAAGCGCGCGCAGGCGGCUGAUCAAGCCUGACGUGAAAGCCCCCGGCUCAACCGGGGAGGGUCGUCGGGGACUGGUUGGCUUGAGGGCGGUAGGGGCCGGUGGAAUUCCCGGUGUAGUGGUGAAAUGCGUAGAGAUCGGGAGGAAUACCAGUGGCGAAGGCGGCCUUCUGGACUGACACUGACGCUGAGGCGCGAAAGCCAGGGGAGCAAACGGG